CUACCUCUGACUGGAGGAUAGCCCGAAGAAAUUCGGAUUAAUACUCCAUAAUACUAUGGACAGGCAUCUGUUCAUGGUUAAAGCCCCGGCGGUCAGAGAUGGGCAUGCGUGACAUUAGCUUGUUGGUGAGGUAACAGCUCACCAAGGCUACGAUGUCUAGGGGGUCUGAGAGGAUGGUCCCCCACACUGGUACUGGGACACGGACCAGACUCCUACGGGAGGCAGCAGUGAGGAAUAUUGGUCAAUGGGCGAAAGCCUGAACCAGCCAUGCCGCGUGAAGGAUGACAGCCCUAUGGGUUGUAAACUUCUUUUGUACGGGAAGAAACGCCUCUACGUGUAGAGGUUUGACGGUACCGUACGAAUAAGCAUCGGCUAACUCCGUGCCAGCAGCCGCGGUAAUACGGAGGAUGCAAGCGUUAUCCGGAUUUAUUGGGUUUAAAGGGUACGUAGGCGGGAGCUUAAGUCAGUGGUGAAAUCCUGCAGCUUAACUGUAGAACUGUCAUUGAUACUGGGCUUCUUGAAUGUAGUUGAGGUAGGCGGAAUGUGUAAUGUAGCGGUGAAAUGCUUAGAUAUUACACAGAACACCGAUUGCGAAGGCAGCUUACUAAACUACGAUUGACGCUGAGGUACGAAAGCGUGGGGAGCGAACAGGAUUAGAUACCCUGGUAGUCCACGCUGUAAACGAUGAUCACUCGUUGUUGGCAAUACACCGUCAGCGACUGAGCGAAAGCAUUAAGUGAUCCACCUGGGGAGUACGACCGCAAGGUUGAACUCAAAGGAAUUGACGGGGGCCCGCACAAGCGGAGGAACAUGUGGUUUAAUUCGAUGAUACGCGAGGAACCUUACCUGGGCUUAAAUGUAGAACGACGGACCGGGAAACUGGUCUUUCUUCGGACGGUCUGCAAGGUGCUGCAUGGCUGUCGUCAGCUCGUGCCGUGAGGUGUCGGGUUAAGUCCCAUAACG
rnacentral:rRNA from 1 species